rnacentral:rRNA from 2 species
CCGGCGAUGUCCGAAUGGGGAAACCCAGUGCAAUUCGUUGCACUAUCGUUAACUGAAUACAUAGGUUAACGAGGCGAACCGGGGGAACUGAAACAUCUAAGUACCCCGAGGAAAAGAAAUCAACCGAGAUUCCCCCAGUAGCGGCGAGCGAACGGGGAGCAGCCCAGAGUCUGAAUCAGCUUGUGUGUUAGUGGAACGGUCUGGAAAGUCCGACGGUACAGGGUGAUAGUCCCGUACACCAAAAUGCACAGGCUGUGAACUCGAAGAGUAGGGCGGGACACGUGGUAUCCUGUCUGAAUAUGGGGGGACCAUCCUCCAAGGCUAAAUACUCCUGACUGACCGAUAGUGAACCAGUACCGUGAGGGAAAGGCGAAAAGAACCCCGGCGAGGGGAGUGAAAAAGAACCUGAAACCGUGUACGUACAAGCAGUGGGAGCACCUUCGGGUGUGACUGCGUACCUUUUGUAUAAUGGGUCAGCGACUUAUAUUCUGUAGCAAGGUUAACCGUAUAGGGGAGCCGCAGGGAAACCGAGUCUUAACUGGGCGUUAAGUUGCAGGGUAUAGACCCGAAACCCGGUGAUCUAGCCAUGGGCAGGUUGAAGGUUGGGUAACACUAACUGGAGGACCGAACCGACUAAUGUUGAAAAAUUAGCGGAUGACUUGUGGCUGGGGGUGAAAGGCCAAUCAAACCGGGAGAUAGCUGGUUCUCCCCGAAAGCUAUUUAGGUAGCGCCUCGUGAAUUCAUCUUCGGGGGUAGAGCACUGUUUCGGCUAGGGGGUCAUCCCGACUUACCAACCCGAUGCAAACUACGAAUACCGAAGAAUGUUAUCACGGGAGACACACGGCGGGUGCUAACGUCCGUCGUGAAGAGGGAAACAACCCAGACCGCCAGCUAAGGUCCCAAAGUCAUGGUUAAGUGGGAAACGAUGUGGGAAGGCACAGACAGCCAGGAUGUUGGCUUAGAAGCAGCCAUCAUUUAAAGAAAGCGUAAUAGCUCACUGGUCGAGUCGGCCUGCGCGGAAGAUGUAACGGGGCUAAACCAUGCACCGAAGCUGCGGCAGCGACACUAUGUGUUGUUGGGUAGGGGAGCGUUCUGUAAGCCUGCGAAGGUGACCUGUGAGGGUUGCUGGAGGUAUCAGAAGUGCGAAUGCUGACAUAAGUAACGAUAAAGCGGGUGAAAAGCCCGCUCGCCGGAAGACCAAGGGUUCCUGUCCAACGUUAAUCGGGGCAGGGUGAGUCGACCCCUAAGGCGAGGCCGAAAGGCGUAGUCGAUGGGAAACAGGUUAAUAUUCCUGUACUUGGUGUUACUGCGAAGGGGGGACGGAGAAGGCUAUGUUAGCCGGGCGACGGUUGUCCCGGUUUAAGCAUGUAGGCUGGUUAUCCAGGCAAAUCCGGAUAAUCAAGGCUGAGGUGUGAUGACGAGGCACUACGGUGCUGAAGUAACAAAUGCCCUGCUUCCAGGAAAAGCCUCUAAGCAUCAGGUAACAUCAAAUCGUACCCCAAACCGACACAGGUGGUCAGGUAGAGAAUACCAAGGCGCUUGAGAGAACUCGGGUGAAGGAACUAGGCAAAAUGGUGCCGUAACUUCGGGAGAAGGCACGCUGGUGUGUAGGUGAAGUCCCUGCGGAUGGAGCUGAGACCAGUCGAAGAUACCAGCUGGCUGCAACUGUUUAUUAAAAACACAGCACUGUGCAAACACGAAAGUGGACGUAUACGGUGUGACGCCUGCCCGGUGCCGGAAGGUUAAUUGAUGGGGUUAUCCGUAAGGAGAAGCUCUUGAUCGAAGCCCCGGUAAACGGCGGCCGUAACUAUAACGGUCCUAAGGUAGCGAAAUUCCUUGUCGGGUAAGUUCCGACCUGCACGAAUGGCGUAAUGAUGGCCAGGCUGUCUCCACCCGAGACUCAGUGAAAUUGAACUCGCUGUGAAGAUGCAGUGUACCCGCGGCAAGACGGAAAGACCCCGUGAACCUUUACUAUAGCUUGACACUGAACAUUGAGCCUUGAUGUGUAGGAUAGGUGGGAGGCUUUGAAGCGUGGACGCCAGUCUGCGUGGAGCCAACCUUGAAAUACCACCCUUUAAUGUUUGAUGUUCUAACGUUGGCCCCUUACCGGGGUUGCGGACAGUGUCUGGUGGGUAGUUUGACUGGGGCGGUCUCCUCCCAAAGCGUAACGGAGGAGCACGAAGGUUAGCUAAUCCUGGUCGGACAUCAGGAGGUUAGUGCAAUGGCAUAAGCUAGCUUGACUGCGAGCGUGACGGCGCGAGCAGGUGCGAAAGCAGGUCAUAGUGAUCCGGUGGUUCUGAAUGGAAGGGCCAUCGCUCAACGGAUAAAAGGUACUCCGGGGAUAACAGGCUGAUACCGCCCAAGAGUUCAUAUCGACGGCGGUGUUUGGCACCUCGAUGUCGGCUCAUCACAUCCUGGGGCUGAAGUAGGUCCCAAGGGUAUGGCUGUUCGCCAUUUAAAGUGGUACGCGAGCUGGGUUUAGAACGUCGUGAGACAGUUCGGUCCCUAUCUGCCGUGGGCGCUGGAGAAUUGAGGGGGGCUGCUCCUAGUACGAGAGGACCGGAGUGGACGCAUCACUGGUGUUCGGGUUGUCAUGCCAAUGGCACUGCCCGGUAGCUAAAUGCGGAAGAGAUAAGUGCUGAAAGCAUCUAAGCACGAAACUUGCCCCGAGAUGAGUUCUCCCUGAGACUUUAAGUCUCCUGAAGGAACGUUAAAGACGAUGACGUUGAUAGGCCGGGUGUGUAAGCGCAGCGAUGCGUUGAGCUAACCGGUACUAAUGAACCGUGAGGCUUAACCUUACAACGCCGAAG